CAUUAAGAAGCUAUAAAGCAUUAACCUUUUAAGUUAAAGACUGGGAGUUUUAACCUCUCCUUAAUGA
rfam:Canis familiaris mitochondrion, complete genome.